GGAUGUGAGGGUGAUCUGGCUGCGACAUCUGUCACCCCAUUGAUUGCCAUGGCUGAUUUGGCUGAUCUGGCUGGCUAGGCAGGUGUCCCCUUCCUCCCUCACUGCUCCAUGUGCGUCCCUCCCGAAGCUGAUUGCUUGGUGGAAGAGGAUGGCCUUCCCCGAAGACAGACAGACUGGCCUUUGGUUGAGGAUAUAUAAGUAGCUGUGCUCCCCUGCUAGAACCUCCAAACAAGCUCUCAAUAGCAUAUGUUAUCAUAUGAUAUCUUAUAUAUUCAUGCCUAUUCCAUUUUGUUUUAUU
rfam:Erinaceus europaeus unplaced genomic scaffold scaffold00037, whole genome shotgun sequence